rnacentral:hammerhead_ribozyme from 1 species
ACCCUGCUGACUAGUCCAAAACAGGACGAAACAGUUGUCCAGUGC